rnacentral:rRNA from 1 species
UGGGGAAUAUUGGACAAUGGGCGAAAGCCUGAUCCAGCCAUGCCGCGUGAGUGAUGAAGGCCUUCGGGUUGUAAAGCUCUUUCACCCACGACGAUGAUGACGGUAGUGGGAGAAGAAGCCCCGGCUAACUUCGUGCCAGCAGCCGCGGUAAUACGAAGGGGGCAAGCGUUGUUCGGAAUGACUGGGCGUAAAGGGCGCGUAGGCGGUGCGUUGCGUCAGAUGUGAAAUCCCCGGGCUCAACCUGGGAAUGGCAUUUGAUACGGGCGUACUGGAAUCCGUGAGAGGUUGGUGGAAUUCCCAGUGUAGAGGUGAAAUUCGUAGAUAUUGGGAAGAACACCAGUGGCGAAGGCGGCCAACUGGCACGGUAUUGACGCUGAGGCGCGAAAGCGUGGGGAGCAAACA